AGAGAGAGACAUGCGCGCAUAUCAAUAAGCGGAGGAAAAGAAACUAACAAGGAUUCCCCUAGUAACGGCGAGUGAAGCGGGAAGAGCUCAAAUUUGAAAUCUUAAAGGGUUUCCCUUUACGAAUUGUAGUUUAAAGAAGUGUUUUCUGUUGAGGUUUUGGUAAAAGUUCUUUGGAAUAGGACAUCAUAGAGGGUGAGAAUCCCGUAUUUGACCUUUACUUUCAACUUUGUGAUACACUUUCAAAGAGUCGGAUUGUUUGGGAAUGCAGUCCAAAAUGGGUGGUAAAUUUCAUCUAAAGCUAAAUAUUGGCGAGAGACCGAUAGCGAACAAGUACCGUGAGGGAAAGAUGAAAAGAACUUUGAAAAGAGAGUUAAACAGUACGUGAAAUUGUCAAAAGGGAAGCGUUUGACACCAGUGUUGUUUUUCUGAAAAUCAAUUAAAGAACUGUUUAUGCUAAGUUGUUUAGACUUUAUCAGCUAACUGUUUAGUUUUGAGCUUUUCUUUAAUGCACUUUUCAGUUAACAAGUCAACAUCAAUUUCUUUUGCUGUAAAAAAGCUUGAGGAAGGUGGCUUGAGAUUCGUCUUAAGUGUUUAUAGCCUCUUGCCUAUGCAGUCGGAGAGAUUGAGGUCUGCAGCGUAGAUCCUUCGGGGCUAAAUGCAUUUGUGCUAAGUUAUAGCAUUUUAUAGACAACUUGUUGACUAUGAUUUGUCUUGUAGCUUACUCGCUUAUGUUAUUUUACCUACGCUUAGGAUGUUGAGCGCAUGUCUCUCUC
rnacentral:rRNA from 1 species